AGUGAACGCUGGCGGUAGGCCUAACACAUGCAAGUCGACCGGCAGCACAGUAAGAGCUUGCUCUUACGGGUGGCGAGUGGCGGACGGGUGAGGACUACAUCGGAAUCUACUUUUUCGUGGGGGAUAACGUAGGGAAACUUACGCUAAUACCGCAUACGACCUCCGGGUGAAAGCAGGGGCUCUUCGGACCUUGCGCGAUUGAAUGAGCCCAUGUCGGAUUAGCUAGUUGGCGGGGUAAAGGCCCACCAAGGCGACGCUCCGUAGCUGGUCUGAGAGGAUGAUCGGCCACACGGGAACGGAGACACGGUCCAGACUCCGACGGGAGGCAGCAGUGGGGAGUAUUGGACAAUGGGCGCAAGCCUGAUCCAGCCAUACCGCGUGGGUGAAGAAGGCCUUCGGGUUGUAAAGCCCUUUUGUUGGGAAAGAAAAGCAGCAGGUUAAGACCCCGCUGUUCUGACGGUACCGAAAGAAGAAGGACCGGGUAACUUCGUG
rnacentral:rRNA from 1 species